AAGCGGGCGCUGAACCGGUCUGUCAUGGUGAAGAGAGCUUAGCCAAAAAGCAAAGUUCUCGAUUUACCAGUUGAUCUACGUUUCUACCCAAAGCUCACGAUCACGAGCUCUGGGUCAUGACCAAAGGAACGAGGUCACGGAUACAAAAUGAGCAGUCAAAAUGAGUUUUCUCAUGUCUGGGCUCUCCCUUAGAGAGAGAAGCUCAGUCAUCUGGGAGGGAGUCAGAGUAGAGCGGCUGCUCCUUCACAUCGAGAGGAGCCAGUAGAGGCGGCUCGGGCGUCUGGUCAGGAUGCCUCCUGGUGAGGAGUUCACGUCCCACCGGAAGGAGGCCCAGAGGAAGACCCAGGACACACUGGAGGGACGAUGUUCCACUGCUGGGAACGCCUUGGGAUUCCCCUGGAGGGGCUGGAGCAGGAGGCUGGGAGAGGGAAGUCUGGGCCUCCUACUGAGGCUGCUGACCCCACGACCCGAUCCCGGAUAAGAGGAAGAAGAUGGAUGGAUGGAUAAAAAACACAUUAACAUGAAUCCAACAUGGCCGCCUUCACCCAGAGCAGUUCUAAUCCAGGUUCUACCUGCACCUCUGCGUCCUGUGGUUCCGUUGGUUCUGAUGGUUCUGCUGGUUCUCCAGGUUCUAUCUGUUCCUGUGCGCCGUGUGUAACAGAGGAAGUGAGUACGUGCGCCGCCUGUCUCUGCGCUGGGUGGACGUCGUCCACUUGGCGCUCUACAACCUGUCCAUCAGCAGCAAGAAGAAAUACUUUGAGCUGGAUGAGAUUCUGGCCUUCGUCUCCACUAACUGGGACCAUCUGCAGCUGGGAAAGCUGUCCAACAGUCCUCCAGCAGAAAGGGGGCAGCACCUGCUGGACGCCCUCAACAAAUACAAGAGCAAGUUUCUGUGUGGGAAGGAGAUGAAGAAGAGAAAAUGCAUCUUCUGCCUGAGGACCCGCGUCCCCCCCAGCCCCCCCUCCAAGCUGUUUCCUGAGCGCGCUCAGAGCGACGCUGGGCGGGGCUCCAAGAAGCCCGCUGCCAGGUGAGUUCUGCUAUCCCCAGGUGUCCCCCAGGUCCAGAAGGUUCUGCAGGAAUCCAGGGAUGCCCCGGAUUCCUGGGUCGGGUCCUGAGGACCAAAACCCGGCUGGUUUCUU